UAUUGCACAAUGGAGGAAACUCUGAUGCAGCGAUGCCGCGUGAGGGAAGAAGGUUUUCGGAUUGUAAACCACUGUCUUAAGGGACGAUAAUGACGGUACCUUAGGAGGAAGCUCCGGCUAACUACGUGCCAGCAGCCGCGGUAAUACGUAGGGAGCGAGCGUUGUCCGGAGUUACUGGGUGUAAAGGGAGUGUAGGCGGGAUGGUAAGUUAGGUGUGAAAUGCGGAGGCUCAACCUCCGAGCUGCACUUAAAACUGCUGUUCUUGAGUGAAGUAGAGGUUGGCGGAAUUCCCAGUGUAGCGGUGAAAUGCGUAGAUAUUGGGGGGAACAUCAGUGGCGAAGGCGGCCAACUGGGCUUUUACUGACGCUGAGGCUCGAAAGCGUGGGGAGCAAACAGG
rnacentral:rRNA from 1 species